AUUAAGUAGUGACUUGAAGACCAACAGUUUCAUUUGCCGAAAACCUAACUACACAUCCAACGAUGUUUCAUUCUUCUUCUUCUUCGAUGUUGCCGAGUUACUAUGUUGUUCCUGUUUCUUAUUUUGUUCCAAAAAAGUUUCAUUCUUUUCAAUUUCUUAAAAAUACCCAUUUCAAUUUCAUUCCUUAUUCUUCUUCAAAAAUAAAUUUCAUUCCUUACUCUUCAAUUUCAACCACAUUCCAUAACAACAAUGAUGUUGUUGAUGCUUUUUCUUUGUUCAGUCGCUUGCUUCGUCAGAAUCCCACUCCUCCCGCAAUCGAAUUCAAUAAGAUUUUAGGUUCCCUUGUCAAAUCCAAACAUUACCACACUGUUCUUUCUCUUUCUCAACAAAUGGAAUUUGAGGGAAUUAAUCCUGACUUUUUCACUUUCAACAUCCUCAUCAAUUGCUUUUGUCAAUUGGGUCUUAUCCCUUUUGCUUUCUCUGUUUUCGCAAAGAUUCUCAGAAUGGGUUAUCAUCCCAAUACCAUAACCUUCACUACACUCAUCAAGGGUCUUUGUCUUAAAGGUCAGAUCCAUCAAGCAUUGCUCUUUCAUGAUAAUGUGGUUGCGAUGGGAUUUCAAUUGGACCAAGUUGGUUAUGGAACCUUGAUCCAUGGCUUAUGUAAGGUAGGAGAAACAAGAGCAGCCCUUGACUUGCUCAGACGAGUUGAUGGUAAUUUGGUUCAGCCUAAUGUGGUAAUGUACAGUACCAUUAUCGAUGGUAUGUGUAAAGAUAAACAUGUUAAUGAUGCUUUUGAUUUAUAUUCUGAAAUGGUUUCUAAGGGAAUUUCUCCCAAUGUUGUUACUUACAGUGCUUUAAUUAGUGGGUUUUUCACUGUUGGUCAACUGAAAGAUGCAAUUGAUCUGUUUAAUAAAAUGAUAUUGGAAAACAUCAAACCGGAUGUGUAUACUUUUAAUAUAUUGGUUGAUGGAUUUUGUAAGGACGGAAAGAUGAAAGAAGGUAAAACUGUGUUUGCUAUGAUGAUGAAACAAGGCAUUAAACCUAAUGUUGUUACCUAUUGCUCUUUAAUGGAUGGAUAUUGCCUAGUUAAAGAAGUGAAUAAGGCUAAGAGUAUAUUAUACACUAUGUCUCAGAGGGGAGUGAAUCCUGAUAUUCAAAGUUACAAUAUCUUGAUUGAUGGGUUUUGUAAGAUUAAAAAGGUCGAUGAAGCUAUGAAUCUCUUUAAAGAAAUGCAUCACAAACAUAUUAUUCCUGAUGUGGUAACUUACAAUUCCCUUAUUGAUGGUUUGUGUAAAUUGGGGAAAAUCUCUUAUGCUUUGAAGCUAGUUGAUGAGAUGCAUGAUCGGGGUGUACCACCUGAUAUAAUUACUUACAGUUCUAUAUUGGAUGCUUUAUGCAAAAACCAUCAGGUUGACAAGGCAAUUGCGUUAUUAACAAAAUUGAAAGACCAGGGUAUUCGACCAAAUAUGUACACAUACACUAUUCUUAUUGAUGGACUGUGUAAAGGUGGAAGACUAGAAGAUGCACAUAAUAUUUUUGAGGAUCUUUUGGUCAAAGGCUAUAAUAUAACUGUCAACACAUAUACCGUUAUGAUCCAUGGGUUUUGUAACAAGGGCUUGUUUGAUGAAGCAUUGACUUUGUUGUCAAAAAUGAAAGACAAUAGUUGCAUUCCAGAUGCUGUAACUUAUGAAAUAAUCAUCCGUUCCCUGUUUGAUAAAGAUGAAAAUGAUAAGGCGGAGAAACUUCGUGAAAUGAUUACGAGAGGCCUAUUGUAAGACUGAAACUAGGUUAUACAUACUUGCUAUCCUUAUUCAUCAGGACUAGGCGACUAGCAGAGAUAGUAGCAGCCACAAUCCCUUAGAGAAGGAUGUCAGUGAGCACUGAAGAGUUCUAGUUUGGUUUCAGAACUUUAUUUUUUGAGGGCAUGUUGUAUUGCUUUGUAAGUGUACAGGUUGGCCUAAGUGGAUAAGUGAAAAUGGAUUUGUGCUGUCUUGAGAAUUGUGCUACAUAAUUAUGCAGGAUAGGUGCCAAUGUGGUGGGAAGGGAAAAUGUGCAUGCAUUAUAACUGGAAUGGAAUUUUUUUGUGAAUAUUUGAUACUGAUAUUGAUAAUGUCAUGCAUUAUUGCUGGUAGUUGUGGAUGUGAUAUGUAAAUAAAUUUUGGUGAACAUUUGAUAAUUGUAUUUAUGUAUAUAUUUUUAGCUUAUUUGUAAUUGUAUUUAUGUAUAUAUUUAAAAAAAAAAUUGUAAACAGAAACCAACUUGUUGACUAUUUGAAAGUUACUGGGACAAGUGAGUCUAGGGUGAAGCUCUUAUUGGAGAUAGAGGGACAAAGGCUUGGAGUCUCCGUUACUUACUCCCUCCGUCCCAAAUUGUAUGUCGCUUUAGGAGAAAAAAUUUGUCCCAAAUUAUAUGUCGCUUUACAAUACCCAUGCAACAUUAUUGUUACUUUUUCAAUUAUAACCUUAAUUAU